GACGAACGCUGGCGGCGUGCUUAACACAUGCCAGUCGAACGGAAAGGCCCUGCUUUUGUGGGGUGCUCGAGUGGCGAACGGGUGAGUAACACGUGAGUAACCUGCCCUUGACUUUGGGAUAACUUCAGGAAACUGGGGCUAAUACCGGAUAGGAGCUCCUGCUGCAUGGUGGGGGUUGGAAAGUUUCGGCGGUUGGGGAUGGACUCGCGGCUUAUCAGCCUGUUGGUGGGGUAGUGGCUUACCAAGGCUUUGACGGGUAGCCGGCCUGGGAGGGUGACCGGCCACAUUGGGACUGAGAGACGGCCCAGACGCCUACGGGAGGCAGCAGUGGGGAAUAUUGCACAAUGGGCGGAAGCCUGAUGCAGCAACGCCGCGUUCGGGAUGACGGCCUUCGGGUUGUAAACCGCUUUCGCCUGUGACGAAGCGUGAGUGACGGUAAUGGGUAAAGAAGCACCGGCUAACUACGUG
rnacentral:rRNA from 1 species